GAAGAUUGUAUUUCUGAAAAUGACCCCAGCAAAAUUACUGGUCUUCCAUGAUCUCCCUGACGUUUUCACUCGCCAUCAUGAGGUGAACGUAUUUCCCCUCCCCGGAAACUGGGAAGGGCUUUGUGAUGGCCUUGACAGACAGAACGUGACAGAAGUGAUGCUGCGUGACUUCCCAGGCUAGGUCAUAAAAGGCAUUACGGCUUCACUUGGAAAUCUCUUUUUCUUGGGAUUUAUCCUGGGAACCCAGCCACCAGUUUAUAAGGAAGCCCAGGUCACAUGAAGGAGCCGCGUGCACGUGUUCCGGCUGAUUGCCAGCUGAGGUUCCAGCUGAUGGUCAGCAUUAAUUGCCAGAACAUCGGCUCCACAACGGGAGGAACACAUUUGUCUUGUUCACAGCUGGAUCUGCAGGGACAGGCAGAGCCUGCACAUAGUAGGGAGGCUCAGAGAGGUGCAAUAAUCGCCCACGUCACUCAGCUGGAGCCCGGAUUUGAGUCCUGGUCAUUCUGAAGCUGUUCCUCUUCCCUCAUCAUCUGGUCAGGAAGCCCUCUGCUCCCAGGUUUACAAGUGGCGGCAAGAAACUGGAGCCUGGAGAGGAGGAAGCCGCCCUCUGAGAGGCACCCAGGGACUUCCCUCUCUGUUGGUUUUCUCUUCGCUGUAAAGGUCUGCAUAUUUCUGGAGCCAGUGAACCAAAUCAGCUGGGGCCUGCCUUUUGUCCCAGGGACUUUUUCCUAAGGUCUUCUGGGAAGACAAAACAGAGGAGGGAUGGG
rnacentral:lncRNA from 1 species